UACGUAGGGGGCAAGCGUUGUCCGGAUUUAUUGGGCGUAAAGAGCGUGUAGGCGGCCGUACAGGUCAGCUGUGAAAACUCGAGGCUCAACCUCGAGACGUCGGUUGAAACCGUACGGCUAGAGUCCGGAAGAGGAGAGUGGAAUUCCCGGUGUAGCGGUGAAAUGCGCAGAUAUCGGGAAGAACACCCGUGGCGAAGGCGGCUCUCUGGGACGGUACUGGCGCUGAGACGCGAAAGCGUGGGGAGCGAACAGG
rnacentral:rRNA from 1 species